rnacentral:misc_RNA from 1 species
GAUGAAGAACGUAGCGAAAUGCGAUAAGUAAUGUGAAUUGCAGAAUUCAGUGAAUCAUCGAAUCUUUGAACGCACAUUGCGCCCCCUGGUAUUCCGGGGGGCAUGCCUGUCCGAGCGUCAUUACAACCCUCAAGCUCAGCUUGGUGUUGGGCCCCGCCGCCCCGGCGGGCGCUAAAGUCAGUGGCGGUGCCGUCCGGCUCCGAGCGUAGUAAUUCUUCUCGCUCUGGAGGUCCGGUCGUGUGCUCGCCAGCAACCCCCAAUUUUUUUCAGGUUGACCUCGGAUCAGGUAGGGAUACCCGCUGAACUUAAGCAUAUCAAUAAGCGGAGGA